rnacentral:rRNA from 1 species
GACGAACGCUGGCGGCGUGCUUAACACAUGCAAGUCGAACGGAAAGGCCCUGCUUUUGUGGGGUGCUCGAGUGGCGAACGGGUGAGUAACACGUGAGUAACCUGCCCUUGACUUUGGGAUAACUUCAGGAAACUGGGGCUAAUACCGGAUAGGAGCUCCUGCUGCAUGGUGGGGGUUGGAAAGUUUCGGCGGUUGGGGAUGGACUCGCGGCUUAUCAGCUUGUUAGUGGGGUAGUGGCUUACCAAGGCUUUGACGGGUAGCCGGCCUGAGAGGGUGACCGGCCACAUUGGGACUGAGAUACGGCCCAGACUCCUACGGGAGGCAGCAGUGGGGAAUAUUGCACAAUGGGCGGAAGCCUGAUGCAGCAACGCCGCGUGCGGGAUGACGGCCUUCGGGUUGUAAACCGCUUUCGCCUGUGACGAAGCGUGAGUGACGGUAAUGGGUAAAGAAGAACCGGCUAACUACGUG